GAUAGGUUGCUUUUAAUUCCCAGGAAGAAGUCCAGGAGGAGGAACGAUUGUACAACUUUCAUACUGAAACCCACAGAGCGACUCUUCUGUAACAUGGUGGGAAAAAUAAGGGUUUAGGAAACAAACAUCUGUGGUUCUCAUUCCAUUUGGACCUGUGUGAUUCUGGACAGGUUCCAUGGGAGUGCUACCAAGUCCAACAACAAGAAAGAAAAAAGAAUGUGGAAGGAAGUAAGGAUAAUCAAAGAUAAAGAAUUUAAAUUUUAACGAGAUAAAAUUCCUGUGUAACAAUAAAGCAAGAACAAAAACUCUAAAAGAACAUAGAUGGAUUAUUCCUACAUUGCAUAGGCUACCUUCUCCUGCCACAGAUACUCUAUCCCAUUUGCUGUCAUCCAACGACUAACACCGUUUUCACUUCAGAACGUCAAGCCUUUUCUGUUCUCUUCAUGGCCUCCUCCCAUUAAAGCUGAAAGUAUCUGCUAUCAGUCAUUUGUCCUAACUGAGUAAGAG
rnacentral:lncRNA from 1 species